CUAAGGGUAGUAACUGGUAAGGUUUCAUUCUUUCUCAAUAAUAAAAAAAAAAUCUCAAUUUUUUUGAGGUUGCUGAGCCUCAAAACACUACAAACGGCUUCUGCGUUUGUAACCACAAUCCACAACUCUCCCAUCCCCAAGAGAUUGCUCUCUUCCAGGCAAGGUUGAAUCCAAGAAGAAUAAUAAGCCGAUUCCUUGAUUCGAAAGA